CCUACGGGAGGCAGCAGUGAGGAAUAUUGGUCAAUGGGCGAGAGCCUGAACCAGCCAAGUCGCGUGAGGGAGUACUGCCCUAUGGGUUGUAAACCUCUUUUGUCGGGGAGCAAAAGCCGGACGUGUCCGGCUGUGAGAGUACCCGAAGAAAAAGCAUCGGCUAAAUCCGUGCCAGCAGCCGCGGUAAUACGGAGGAUGCGAGCGUUAUCCGGAUUUAUUGGGUUUAAAGGGUGCGCAGGCGGAUUUUUAAGUCAGCGGUAAAAUCGUGGGGCUCAACCCCAUCCAGCCGUUGAAACUGGGGAUCUAGAGUGUGCGAGAGGUAUGCGGAAUGCGUGGUGUAGCGGUGAAAUGCAGAGAUAUCACGCAGAACCCCGAUUGCGAAGGCAGCAUACCGGUGCACAACUGACGCUCAGGCACGAAAGCGUGGGUAUCGAACAGGAUUAGAUACCCUUGUAGUC
rnacentral:rRNA from 1 species